ensembl:lncRNA
AAGUAAGGUUUUGUCCUUUGUUGGCGAGUGCUGGGGAGCAGCUUAUGCUGCUAAGAGCACUAAUAGCAAAGGGAACUAUGGGAUGGUUCUUGUUUCCCCUGAAUAUUAUACAGUUUAUUGAAAUUUGCCCUGCCAAUCCAUAUCUGGAAACAGAAAACUGUAGAAGCCAAAGGGAAACAAUCAAGACGCUGAAAACGUUAAACCACGGGAGCAGACCAGCUGAAGGUGAUAGCAAAUUCUCCUCCACAUCAAGUUUUUGGGAUGAAAUUGAACUCCUCCUGCAAGCCUCCGCCCCCCACAGAUGGGAAUUCAUUUGCUAAAAGGAGAGUUGGCAGCAAAGACCAUCCUGAGCUCUAUGGGCUGUGCCUCUUCAGGAGACAGGAUUAUUGCAAGCACUCCCUUUGCACUGAGAUAUUUAAACAGUCUUCCCGGCAAUGUUAAAGAUGUAAGGUGUGCAUGAUUAUGAAAUAUAACUAUACAAUGACUUUCACAUUUAAAAAGCAGCACCAUGCUUUCCAGCUGCAGCCACCAUACUGUCAGAGUAUGAUAUCACUAUGAGCAUUUAUUUCUGGAGAUAAAAUGUGCUGCCUCUCCAAGGCUUUUCCCUCCACACCCAACGGGCUUUGUUGUUUGAGGUAAGAGCUAUCAUUAUCUGUCAGCUCCUCCAACUCGCUGAAAAAUCCAGACCCAGAAGGCAGGCUGGUGCUUCUUGCAUUCAUGAGGAUAAGACAUGUCCACAGGUAUCCCACGCUGUUUUGACUGUACUGCUACAUAGUGUGAGCUACAUGCUAAUACUCUGGGUUUCUUGGCUAGACCCAGAUGACAUCUAAAAACAUACAAAAGAUGUGACGUAGACAAAAAUUUCCAAGAUGAUGUUGCUGAAGAUAAGAGAAAUAUUUCCCAUGUGAAUGGAACAAACACCUGCCAGCUUUCUGACUGAGCAGCAGGUUAUAAAGCAAGUACGACCCAGAAAAGUGGAGGCGUGUAGGACAUCUGAAUGAGAGGUGAGAGAUUAAAACAGCUUUUAUACAUGUGUGGCUGAGAAGCAGCUGAAUUAAACAAACUCAACCUGAAUGCCAGCAUGGUUUGCUGCCCAGCAAAAUUCAAGGCUGCAGGUAUGGAGUGAAGCUAGUGGCCUCACUGACUUCCAGAGUUGGAAGAAAAAAGCCAACGGGAGAAAAGAAGGAAGGUGAUCUGGGAGCAACAGCUGCUGUCUGCUGUCAAACUUUUCUGGAUGGGAAAGGCUGUGAGAAGAUGUGAGACCAGAAUAAGAGUAUGGUGUGGCAUGUUUGCCUUCAGGCAAAACUGUGAGGAACAGCAACAUAAUUCAGUGGGUCAAAAUUCAACCAGAGCAGCACAGUCUGGCCCUGCUGGCUCUAUUCUUUUGCUGCUACAGAUAAUGGCCAGAAGCCAUCCACUUGUGUUCUGAUCUACAUGUUCUCCAUGAUUUCUUCUCAACUAGACUUGCCUCUGAGUGUCUGUUUGCCUUGUCCCUCUUCUGAUGGGUGUUGGAUGUGGCUGACCAUUGAACUAUCUUUGGACUGUCCUUUCUUGCUCAAUCUCCUGGCAUCAGAUGCACCUUGGUGAUGGUACUGGGUUCCCCCUUGGGUUAGGAAGUCCUCACUUAGCUGCAGUCAGUGGCCUUUUUUCACGGCGACUUGCUGCUCGCUGACAGUGAUCCUUGUUGCAAAACUCCAGAAGUCACUUAGACUGAAAUGGGUCAAAACAAGAGAAGAGAAUCACGAGAGGCACCUACAGUAAUUAGGAGUUAGAUGAAAGGCUCAUAUGAUCCAAGGAUAUUCAUCCCUGUCUCCCUUCUAACUGUCAGUUCUGCCAAACAGUUUGUGCAAGUGAGUUCCACCAGCCAAAAACCCGAGCAUUUUUUCGUGUCAUUGUGUGCUUGUUAAUGCUAUACGUAUGCUUUGAAUGUUAUGAUUAUUUAUUAUUAAAUGAAGAAAAAC